ACGAACGCUGGCGGCGUGCUUAACACAUGCAAGUCGAACGAAGAGCGAUGGAAGCUUGCUUCUAUCAAUCUUAGUGGCGAACGGGUGAGUAACGCGUAAUCAACCUGCCCUUCAGAGGGGGACAACAGUUGGAAACGACUGCUAAUACCGCAUACGAUCUAACCUCGGCAUCGAGGAUAGAUGAAAGGUGGCCUCUACAUGUAAGCUAUCACUGAAGGAGGGGAUUGCGGCUGGUUAGCUAGGUGGAGGGGUAACGGGCCACCAAGGCGAUGAGCAGUAGGCGGGCCUGGAGGAUUGACCGCCCCAUUUGGAAUGAGACCCGGCCCCGGCUUCUUACGGAGGCAGCCGGUGGGGAUCUUUCGACAUGGACGGAAGGCUUACGGAGGAACGCCGCGUGGGUUGUGGCGGGCUUCGGGUUGUUAAACUCUGUUAAUCGGGGCGAAAGGCCUUCUUGCGAAUAGCUAGACGGAUUGACGUUACCGGAAUAGAAAGCCACGGCUAACUCCGUG
rnacentral:rRNA from 1 species